rnacentral:lncRNA from 1 species
UUCAGUCUAUCCUGAAAUUCAAGUGAGCAAAUCAUCAGCCUUGGCUUAUUAUGGUGUAUAUGUUAAUGGUAAGGGAAUUGGAGGGUGAUGGUAAUAACACAUUCCUUAACUGCAGAGACAUCAACGAGGUUAUUCGGAGGGCAAAUACGACGUCAUAUGGACUGGCAGCGGGUGUGUUUACGCAGGACAUAGACACAGCAAACACCUUGACACGAGCACUGAAAGUGGGAACAGUGUGGAUAAACUGCUAUGAUGUGUUUGAUGCAGCGAUCCCAUUUGGUGGGUACAAGAUGAGUGGACAAGGCAGAGAAAAGGGUAUUCACUGUCUCAGCAAUUACUUGCAAGUGAAGGCCGUUGUCACUCCCUUGAAGGACCCUGCAUGGAUUUAAAAUUCCUUCAAGCUACCUUUUACAAUGCUAGAUCUGUUUCGUUGAUUAGUGAAUAUUGCAGGAAUAAAGAUGACUGAGAAAUUGUUAGUUUAUCAUAGAUUUAUGGAAUGGAGUGGUGAAAUGUUGAUUGUGACGGAAAAAAAAACUACAAUUCUCGUCAGCUUGUCCAGUCGUCAACCCAAGGCUUCGAAUUUGGCUUCUUUAUUUUUUUAUGCAAUUUUCAUUCCCCCUUUAAAACACAAUAUUCGCAUAGAAAACCAUAUGCAGCUUUAACAGGGAAUAGUCAUGUUUCCACACAAAUCAAUCCGGAGAAACUUGGUGUUCUUAGCUCACUCCAGCAAACCACGAUCUUUCCAAACCAUUCUUACAUACUUUUAAAGACACUUAACCGUAUUCAGGAAAUCGAUCCCUUGGAUUGAAUAUAUCCAGAAAGUAUUGACUACGAUAAUACUCCGCUAGCAACAUGCAAAUGGUUCAUUAAGCAAUCAAGUCCCCUAAAUCCUAAGCAGCUUCUAUCUCAUGGUUUGCAUAAUUGCAUCCAACUACACAUAUUAAGUUUCUUUGAUCCUUGUCAUGCCCCCACCAAAGAGUAGGAACAAUUUAUCAAUUUUAAUAGUAGGUGCUUUGACACAUGACAAGGCAUAUAAAAGAAUGAAGGCAGGAGAUACCUGGAUUUCCAAACACUAAAUUUUGCUGCAUUUUCUGUAUGAUAAGGUUGAAAGAACUCCUCUCUUUUAACAUCCAGAAUCCUUGAAAACCAUCGCUUCUUAUAUCCUGACUUACAUUUGAAAUGGGAUCCUGAAUGCAAUUAUUUUGUUCCGCCUAAAAUUACAUUAAAGAUAAACAUUUUAACAAAAAUAGACAAAGGUAAAAGGAUUUCCCAGUUAUAACCUAUGGUUCCACUCCAAAAUUUCCUUUAAACUAAUCCAAAUAAAGUCUCAUGGUAAACAUCAAAUACCAUGUGACACCUAUUUCAUUUUAAAUUGUGAGGCAUAAUUUUUUUUCCUAAAGUAAAGGAAAGCCCUUUGCUUAUACGAUAAGUAUCUUUUAAGUCCAUAUGAGGUACCCCAUCUAUUUAUAUUGUCAAGGUCUAGGCUGGCAGCUUUGUGACUGGACUUUUUCAUAUGAAAUGAAAAAUGGUGUUUUAUUUAGGAAACAAAUGAAUUUCAAAAUAAAUCAAAACUUGAAAUCCUUUAAUUUCUUCUUCUCAUCUUAUUCACAAUGCUCGAUCAUUGUUCAUUCAUAAACAAAAAAUGGAAUUCAAUCUAUUUGUUAUUUCCAUAAAAUUUUCUGAAAAUAAAUGUAUAUAGCUAAAAAGAAUACUUAAAGACAGACCCAUCAAGUAUAAAGAAUCCCAUUUUUCAAAUAUUGAAGAUUUUAUAGCUCAACCUCAAUUAAACCCAAUUUCAUACUUCACCUUGCUACAUAAUUUUCGUUUAAAUUAUUUAUGAAAAUAAAUUAUAAAUCUGUAAUGUGGGUGAGUUUAGUACUUCAGUUGGAAUAAAAGAAAAGCUACUAGAGAUAGAAAAAUAGAAAGAGGACGAAGAAACGAAAUAAAUUCUUUAAUAAUAAAAUAAAGAAAGUAUAUUUGGAAUUUUGGAGAAAGAAUCAAUUGAAUUAGAUAUAAAUCUCCCCACGUGGGAUCCAUGUCUUCAUCUUGUCUCCUUCUCCACCUAAUAAUUUCCAUUUCCUUCCGCAUCAAAUAAAACAAAAGGUUAAAUUUUAUUUCUAGUUCCCAUAUUUUAGUAAAAUUUAAUAUUUAAUCCUUUCACUUUAUAAUUAAAAAUAUUUAUUUUAGUCAUUAUUCAAGCAAAGAGGUAAAACC